AUUGAACGCUGGCGGCAGGCCUAACACAUGCAAGUCGAACGAGAGGCGGACGGGAGAGUCAUGACUGGGAAACUGACUGAGGGAGAGGGAUAGCUAAUGGAAACGGUAGCUACUAACGCAUAACAUCAGCUGUGCCGGGAUAGGAUUAGCUUGUUGGGGGGGUAAAGGCUCACCAAGGCGACUAUCCCUAGCUGGUCUGAGAGGAUGACCAGCCACACUGGAACUGAGACACGGUCCAGACUCCUACGGGAGGCAGCAGUGGGGAAUAUUGCACAAUGGGCGCAAGCCUGAUGCAGCCAUGCCGCGUGUAUGAAGAAGGCCUUCGGGUUGUAAAGUACUUUCAGCUGGGAGGCGUUACCCGCAGAAGAAGCACCGGCUAACUCCGUGCCAGCAGCCGCGGUAAUAC
rnacentral:rRNA from 1 species